GGAGACUCCAUACUUCCCUCUCCAAUUCGUGGUACAGUCCCUUUGCUUCUUUACAUUUUCUCUCUUUAAGCUCUCUCUUUCUCUCGGAUUAGUUUUUCUCAAUCUGCGCUGGUUGAUCUUGAUCUGAAUCGAACUUUUGGUUUGACAUGGCGACCUAUACACCCAAGAACAUCCUUAUUACGGGUGCUGCUGGGUUCAUUGCAUCCCAUGUUGCAAACAGGCUCAUCCGUAACUAUCCUGAGUACAAAAUUGUUGUUCUCGACAAGCUUGAUUACUGCUCAAAUCUGAAAAAUCUUCUGCCCUCCAAA